rnacentral:tRNA from 1 species
UGGGGUGUGGCUCAGUGUAGAGUGCUUGCCUCCCUCGUGUGAGGCACUGGGUUCGAUCCUCAGUACCACAU